UACGAAGGGGGCAAGCGUUGUUCGGAAUUACUGGGCGUAAAGGGCGCGUAGGCGGCUUAUCAAGUCAGGCAUGAAAUUCCCGGGCUCAACCUGGGGGCUGCGCUUGAUACUGAUGAGCUUGAAUGCGGGAGAGGAUAGUGGAAUUCCCAGUGUAGAGGUGAAAUUCGUAGAUAUUGGGAAGAACACCGGUGGCGAAGGCGGCUAUCUGGCCCGUAAUUGACGCUGAGGCGCGAAAGCGUGGGGAGCGAACAGG
rnacentral:rRNA from 1 species